rnacentral:tRNA from 1 species
GAGAACAUAGCGCAAAGGCAGCGCAGCCGAUUGUGGAUCGGCAGGUGCGGGUUCGAGUCCCGCUGUUCUCCCCA